GCACCAAUGGGCUAGCGGUAUAAUUGUUCCCUCCCAAGGUAUAGAACCGGGUUCAACUCCCGGUUGGUGCA